GACGAACGCUGGCGGCGUGCUUAACACAUGCAAGUCGAACGGUGAAGCGCUUUCCUUUUUGGUUGGUGUGGAUGAGUGGCGAACGGGUGAGUAACACGUGAGUAACCUGCCCCCUUCUUCUGGAUAACCGCAUGAAAGUGUGGCUAAUACGGGAUAUUCUGCGCCUGCUGCAUGGUGGGUGUGGGAAAGAUUGUGCCUUUGGGUGUUUUCGGUGGGGGAUGGGCUCGCGGCCUAUCAGCUUGUUGGUGGGGUGAUGGCCUACCAAGGCGGUGACGGGUAGCCGGGCUGAGAGGGUGGACGGUCACACUGGGACUGAGACACGGCCCAGACUCCUACGGGAGGCAGCAGUGGGGAAUAUUGCACAAUGGGCGCAAGCCUGAUGCAGCGACGCCGCGUGAGGGAGGGAGGCCUUCGGGUUGUGAACCUCUUUCGCCAGUGAAGCAGGCCUGCUCCUUGUGGGUGGGUUGACGGUAGCUGGAUAAGAAGCGCCGGCUAACUACGUG
rnacentral:rRNA from 1 species